GCCUCGAAUAGAGAUUUCUUAGAACGAAACGGUUUGCCAUGCUGCAUUCCCAUCACUGUCCACAGAGAUUAUGAAACACAACAUUUGCAGUGUCUGAUUAUACAAGAAUCAGCUGGCUUCCUGAGGAAGAAAACACAGUAUUUCACACAGUCUGUACGUCACUAAUGGGAUCAGAAGCCAAUAGAAUAAUACACAGGCUAAUUUUUAAUGUUUUGUCCAAAAGCUAUGCCAUGGAGAGAUGGCCGGAUUUGGGGUUCGGACACUGAAUUUGUUACCGUCUGCAUGACCUUGGGCAAGUUGCUUCAUCUCAUAAUCUAGGCAGCAUCAAUGUCCUUCCUGUCAUGAGUGAUGGGUCCUGAGCUGACAGAAGCAAAAACAAGAACACAAGUCUGACACCAGAAAGCAGAGAGAGGACUUUCUUAAUUCAGCUUGAGGCAGCAUGGCAUCAUGAAAAUAUCAUGGAUUUUUGUGACCUUGGCAAGGCAGCGAGGCUCCUACCACUCUGGACAGUCUGCUGAGUGAUUUGUAUCACCUGAAAGCCAGCCUAAUGGAGCUUGGUGGGAAAGAAGCAAGAGGGUGUUCUGUUUCUGCAUUCACGGAGUCAG